AUGUGAUGAACAAAGGCUAAGUUCGCCACGACCUGUGGCAAUGCCUUUGUGACAACAUCCUGUUGG
rnacentral:sRNA from 1 species